UUAAUUAAUUUUAAUUUAAAUAAAUAUCUAAAUUUAAGUAUAUCAUUUACAAUGAUAAGAUGUUUUAUAAACUUUAUUUAAAUUUUUUUAAUUAAU
rnacentral:tRNA from 1 species